rnacentral:lncRNA from 1 species
CGGCCAUUAAGCCUCGCUGGGUGAGGUAGGCUGAUGCCACAUCGCUGCUGGGAUUGGCAGGCAGAGGAGUCCAGAGGCCCCCCAGGAAGGCUCCCUUCCUGCCAUUCACCUCCCCUGCCUCUCCCCUGGGGGGCUGGGCAUAUCAGCAGCCCCAUGGACCGCUGCUUUGCAAGUCCCGAGAGCCCCCAUUCUACGCGACGUGUAAAAGUCCAGCUGGAAAGCGGAAACUGCAGUCCAUCAUCCAGAUGUGUUUUCCUACAUGUCGCCUGUUUUGUAGAUACGUGUGACUGUGAGGUGAUGGCCUGACUUCUCAGCUCUUCAUUAAUACAUUCCAGCCAGCCCGGGGUGGCCCAUAGGGACAGAGUGAGGUGAGGAACUGGAAAUAUUCCCCGCAACUCAGUAAAGAUGGCAGGCAACUUGGAGAACUCUGCCCCUUCAAGGGGAACGUGGUUCUUACCCACCCUCCCCAGGCCUAUGAAUGAGCAAAGCCAGAGCGUCCCCUCUCCUCCAUUAAGCAGAUGUUCUACACAUCGCCCUCCCACUCCUUCUGCAGACCCGAGGGAGCAGCAGAACCGCUCACGUGAGAGCCGCCAGAAGGCAAGGACCGGCGCGCCCAUUCUAUCACAAGAGCAAGCUCACAGUCAAUUAUCUCAUUGUCAGAGUCUCGGUGCCCCUGCCCUACUCCACCCCCUUGGGAUCCUGUGCAUCCGAGCUUCUUUGUUUGGAAUCAUCAUCAUGUCACCAUCAAAAAUAUUUAUUCAGCUUCUGCAUAUAUAUUGUUCUGGUCACCCCAUUGAUUUUUCUCUCAUGGCAUGUAUGUAAUUUCCACUCUAUCUUUUUGAAGUUGCUUGACAUGAGUUUCUGUCAUCUUUAUACAUCAUCAGGUACGGUAUUCAAGAGCCCCAGAACUCAGAAUGGGUCCCCAGCCUUCCCUUUGCUUGGCUGUAGAAAUAACACCAGGUCUUGGUGCAGGGCAUCUUGGAUCAGGGACUGACAGAAUGGCUGCCUCUUCCAAGUACAAUCCAGAACGGAGUGGACUGAGACAUGUAG